rnacentral:rRNA from 1 species
AGGACGAACGCUUGCGACGUGCCUAAGAAAUGCAAGUCGAGCGAGGUAGCAAUACCUAGCGGCGAACGGUCGCGUAACACGUAAGCAACCUGCCUCAAAGACUGGGACAACGUUUCGAAAGGGGCGCUAAUACCGGAUGUGCCCAUAGGGAGUCAUCUCCUUGUGAGUAAAUCGAGCAAUCGGCUUUGAGAGGGGCUUGCGGCCUAUCAGCUAGAUGGUGGGGUAACGGCCUACCAUGGCUUCGACGGGUAGCUGGU